rnacentral:lncRNA from 1 species
AAUGGAUCAUGUCCUGAGUGUCACUCCACAGAGUGAGCUCAUAUUCUGAAGUCCCUUCAUCAAAGUUGUCGUCCUCAUCCUAAAACUUGGAAUUUUGGCAGAUUGAAGUGAAGAUCCUGUUACCACGUUGAUGUAGAAUGGUGGGUUGAUGCAUCUGCAAAGUUACAGCCUUUCACUUUGUAUUCUAAUGAGAAAAGUAGACACGUUUAUGGUCCGGUUUUGCAUUUGCUCCCACUGACCUUCUGAUAAUGAACAAAUGGAAGCAAUAUGUCAGGAGGCAAAAGCAGAAGACAUAGAUCUCAAACUUAGGUGUGUUUGAUUUGCCAGCAGAAAAUGACUAACCACAUGAUGUAGAAAUAUAUAAAAUACAUCCACACCUGGGUCAAAGACAGAUACACCAAAAGUAUCUAAACAUCUGAGAUCUUCAACUUUGGAGGAUGCAGAAGUUACGAGAUGGCUUAGGAGGUUGCUGAAGAAGUUCAGAGAUGACUAAAGGAAAACAAACAAUCAAAAGAAGAUGAGUUUCAAAUGAAGAAGAAAGAGCAGGGCAACAGCUUAGCUUCUGCUAUAGCCAUAGCUCCUUGCUCUAGGGGUUUCCUUCUCUAUUGUUGGGUAAUAUUAAGGAAAAUUACUU